rnacentral:sRNA from 1 species
AGGCCCAAACAAUUUCCUUCACUAAUCAAAAGUACAUUGUAAAUAGCUGUGUGAUUGUCAAGUAUGGGGAAAUAUUAUAUCCAGGAGUUGUGAUAGAAGUCCUGGAUGAUCAGCGCAGAAAUAAUUUUUUAAAAAGGCACAGAAAU